AGCCAGUCCAAAAGCAGAGGGAAUGGUUCCCACCCCACCCAAUCGCUGCGGGGCUUAGUUUCCAAACACUCUCUACACAGGCUCUGGACAAAACUCUGGGACUGAAAAAGCAGCAAUGGGAGCAAAGAACUGUUCAAAGAAAGCAAGAAGGAGAAAGUGGGAAAAGUCACUACUGAACAGGCUUUCCCCAAGAAGACCAUGAGUGAAAUAAAGAAAGAAAUCCAUGAUGUUCCAUAUAUUGAUUGACUGUCUGCCAUCAAGUUGUUCGUGACUCCUGGCAACUACAUAGAUAGAUUUGCUUUAUGACAAUCUAACCUGGUCUUUCAAGUCUUCCGAUGAUGUACUCAUCAGUGCCGUAACUGAGUCUAUACAUCUUACAGCUGGCCAUCUAUCUUCUUUCCUUCCACUUUUCCCAGAAUUAAAGACUUUCCUAAAAAGCUACGUCUUCACAUAAUAUGUCUGAAAUAUGAUAUUUUGACUCUGGUCAUUAGUGCCAUGAGUGAGAACUCUGGAUUGAUUUGUUCAGUGAUCAAUUUGUUUGUUUGUUCAGAAGUAUCAAUAAUUGUCCUGGUUCUAACUCUUAGCAUUUCUAGCAAAUAGCCAUGCUGCUCCAAGCUACUAGGAGUAAAGUAUGCCAUGCCAACUGAAAAGGCCCACUUCUGUCCUAUUUUGGAACUUAAUUAAAUUGCCACUGGGUCUGUCCUUUACAGAA